rnacentral:ncRNA from 1 species
UGCAUGAACGGAGCUAUGAAGUUCUCACUGUCCCAAACUGUCUCUCAGCGAACCAACUGUAGUGGGACGGUCACUAGAUAUCCAGCGGGGAAAGAAGACCCUGUAGAGCUUCACUUUGGUCUAGUCUUGUAUAGUUCCUGCGGGGGUGUAGACUAGGUGGGAGAGCAAUCGAUUCUGAAAAACCACUACCCUGUUUGGAAUUAUGCUUACCUAUCACAAGGAAUAGGACUAGAUAGAAAGUUUGGCUGGGGCGGCACACCUUCGAAAGAGCAGCGAAGGUGUCCUAAGUUGAGCUCAGUGAGGACAGAAAUCUCACGUUGAGGAUAAGGCCAAAAGCUCAAUUUACUGUGCCUUUUUGUACUAGGAUCAGUUACGAAAGUAAGGCCUAACGAUCCCUAAAUAGCCUCAGGUGCGUGAGGAUUGGGGUGACAGACAAGUUACCUCCGGGACAACUGGCUUGUGGCUGCUAAGAGAUCAAAUCAACGCAGCUUUUUGAUUCUUCGAUGUCGGCUCUUCCUAUCCUAGUGAUGUACAAGUUGCUAAGGGUCGGAUUGUUCACCCGUAUUAGGGAUCGUGAGCUGGGUUUAGACCGUCGUGAGCCAGGUUUGUUUUAUCCUACUGGAUAUAGCAUCAUGAUAGUAGAUUGAUUUAGUACGAGAGGAACUGUUGAUUAUGGCCUCUGGUUAGCGAUUAUCGGAAACGGUAUGUCGCGCAGCUACGCCGUCUGGGAUAAUGGCUGAAAGCCUCUUAAGCCAGAAGCCCAUCUAGAAAGUGAUGCACGUGAUGUUGGACCGAUACGAAUAAUCAUACUCAAAAGGUCCGCUUCAUAGGUAACCCAAUGUAGAAGACAUUGUGUGAACGAAGGUACUGUAAGCAGUGGAGUGGCAUUACGUCCACGACCUGUUGAGGUUCAGCUUCGCUUCUAGGUUUCC